rfam:Canis lupus familiaris chromosome 23, whole genome shotgun sequence.
AAUAAAUAAAUAAAUAAAUAAAUAAAUAGGAAUGAUACUGAGAAUAUUAGCAUAGCCACUGCACAAGGAUGGCACACAAAUUCGUGAAGUGUCCCACAUUUUU